CUAGAUGACUUCACCAUCAACCAAAGCUCGGGUUUUUCUGCCAGCCUGCGAGCCCUUAAAUCUUUCCUUAAACCCUUGACCUUAAAGAUUAUACACAAGAAGUUCCCGAGUCAUGGGAACAAGGGAAGAACGAAAAGGGCUCUGUGAAUCUGCAAUAAAAACCCAUUCACGAGAUUUGUUUGCUUGUAGAUUUUUGGCAUAUGUGAAAGCUGGUGUUCUUGCAGAAAUCUUCAGCUUAGAUAACUCAUUCUAGGCCUCGGGGUUCCUAUGAUGGAUGAGUUGUAAAGAAUGUUCAAGAUAUUAUCAACCACGUCAUUAAACAUAUGUAUUGCUUCACUUUGUAGAGUUAAAAAUUUGAAGAAUGCCGAAGCAGUUUUGAUAGAUGGUAUUAGAGUUGGAAUACUACCUGAUGUGGUUACAUACAAUACACUGAUUGAUGGAUACUGUCGUCUAUUUGGCAUUGAUUCUGGUUAUUCAGUUCUUGGUAGAAUGAUGGAAGCCGGGAUACACCCGAAUGUCAUUACAUACAACACUUUGUUGUCUUGUGCAAGUAGAUAUAGGUUGUUGUACCAAUCUCUUGAUAUAUUUGAUGAAAUGCUUCAAGUGGGCAUUCUUCCUGAUGUUUGGAGUUACAAUAUAUUGAUGCAUUGCUUUUUCAAGGUGGGGAAACCAGAUGAGGCUUACAGGGUUUUUAAAGAUAUAUUUUUGAGGAAUAUUUAUCCUUCUCCAGCCACAUUUAAUAUCAUGUUCACUGGACUUUGCAAGAAUUGGUAUACGGAUAAUGCUCUUAUGUUACUUCGGAAUUUGCAGCGUAAUGGAUUUAGACCUGAGUUGGUAACUUAUAACAUUCUUAUUGAUGGGCUAUGUAAGUCGGGAAAGUGGAGGACGGUGAAAGGGCUUCUGAAGGAAAUAUUGGAUUAUGGCCAUAUUCCAAAUGCCAUAACUUACACUACGGUUAUGAAAUGUUGCUUCAAAAAUAAAAUGUUCAAUGAAGGGCUUGAGAUUUUUUCAGAAAUGAAGGCGAAAGGAUAUACUUUCGAUGGCUUUGCUUACUGCACGGUCGCUGGUGCUUUACUUAGAACUGGUAGAAUAGAAGAGGCAAAUCAAUGCAUGGGAAACAUGUUUAGAAGUGGUAUUGAUCUUGACAUGGUGUGUUAUAAUACCCUAAUUAAUUUGUAUUGCAAGGAAGGUAAGUUGGAAGAUGCCUUUGGGUUGUUGGAUGAGGUAGAAAAGAUGGGAUUGGAAUGUGACAUUUACACCCACACUAUUUUGAUUGAUGGGUUGUGCAAAGCAGGUAAUAUACAGGGUGCCCAGCGACAUUUAAAGUACUUGAAUAAGGUGGGCUUUGGGACAAAUUUGGUUGCUUUUAAUAGUUUUAUUGAUGGAUUGUGUAAACUUGGUCAGAUUGAGUAUGCAAUGCAGGUGUUCGAAUCCAUGAAAGUGAAGGAUGAGUUUACUUAUUCCUCCAUUGUGCAAGGACUUUGCAGUGCUGGAAGAUUUCAUUUGGCUGCUAGGCUACUCCUAUGCUGUGUUAGAAGUGGAGUGAGAAUUUUAAGGUCUGAUAAAAAGGCUGUUAUUCGUGGUCUUCGUUUUACAGGCUUUGGUCCUCAAGCUAAGAAGGUCCAGUCAAAUAUUCGCUUGGCCAAGUUACUGCACUAUUGAUGUGUUAUGGAGACAAAAAUUUUGUAUCUGCAAAAGAGAUUAUUCCUGUGCUGGCUGGAAAUUCGGGGUUCAUACUUUUUAUGAAAGUGAACCAACAGUCCACCUUGUAAUUUAUUUGAAAUGACUACUCUACUUAUGAGUUAUGACCAGCAGAUUGACAUUAUGGUACAGAGAAGCAAUUUCCUUCACCAUCCUUAUUGCUUAAAGAGAGAAGCAAUUUUGUUCACCAUGCUAACAAAGUUAAAGGCCUGACGAGAGUUGGAAGCUGGACAACUAUUUUCUCUGAAAUUGUGGACAACUUGCUCAAUGUUGUUGAGCAACUGAAGGCAAUUAAAGUUGACUAAUUUAGCAUCAAAAGACAAUAUCAUGGUUCGGAAAUAAAAACAAUUGCAUUUUGGGAUCUGUCACUUUCUGGGAAAUUAAAGAAAGGAAAACAAUUGAAGUAAGCUGGCAUUGUUAAUACUGGAUUUUGUAUAUCCUUCAGGCUAACACAUAUGCUGAAAAGGGUGUAACAGCUCAAAACUGUUGUCACAUAUUUUCUGUCAUGGAUACUGGUGCCACUCAAAACUUAUUGCACUCUUAAGAUAUGUUCUCCUUUUGGUAUGGGUUCAUAUUCUCAAGGGGCUGGCUCUAAACUGAACACGGACUGUUUUAGCGCGGCUCUCCAUUUUUGUCACUGAAAUCGGGUUCUAGGUUCAUUUCUCAUAUGUGAUCUCAGUGGCACAAUGCAGUAAUGGCCUUGAUAAUUAUCGAAGGUUAAACAAGGAAAAGGAUCCGAAGAAUGGUUUUAGCCAUCAAGGAAGUACUGAUGUGUCAAUGUUCUGCAUCCAAAAUGCACAUGUCAACAUGUAAUGAUACACAAUCUGUGCAUAUAACAUUUGCCUUGCAGUAGAAACUUUGGUAGGGAAUCGCAAGUCAGAAUGCAAAACUGUACUUGUCCAUGAAAUUGAUGGUUUUUUUGUCCUUUGAUUGGGAUUAUUUCCUAAAUGAAACAAAACAAGGAAAUCCAGUGUUGCUCGUUAUUGAGAAAACAAGUGGCAAGAGAACAUUCAGCAUUUUGUUGGGUGAUUUUUGAUCAAGCAUUGGCCUAAGCUGAGCCCUUAAACUUUACAGAUUUCGACAAAGGGUACGAAUUCCUUUCUGGAAAUUAAUGACUCAAACACGAGAUAUCUAUACUUAGAACAUUCUGGCUCUCAAGAACGUUGAGAUUAUGAAGCCAACUACCAAACAUGCUAGAAGAAAGUUACAGAACUGUUUACAUCUCCUUGGACUCUCUCUUGGGGAAUCAUAUCCAGCGACUGCCAUCGGUCUUAUUUCAUGGACAAGUGAAACACCAGAAUGAAUCUUUUAUUCAAACAGAAGAAUAUGACGAUAGAACUUCAACAUGGAAAUGAUCUGGGACGAAGGCUAACCUGUUUCCUCUCUGCUGAAACCAUGUUUCAGCACAAGAACGAUGCGAGAUCCCAAGUUCUCCUCUACAAUGGCAACCGAGCUGAAUGAGUUCUGAGCUCCCUGAUGAUGAUGGUUCGUUCCCCAAAUGACAUAUUCUACAAAUCUGUUCUGCUCUCAAAUGCUCUUCAUCAAUCUUCACAUCAUCCGCAUGAGAACCAGUCUCUUCUUUUGGCCGUUUAUCUUCUCGUCCUUCCCCCAAUGAUGUCCCUUCUGGGCUUCCCGAAUCAUUUGUACUCAGCAUUCUUGAAUCAUCAUUAGCAUCUUCAACCCUUGGCUCCACUCCUGCGGUGCUUGCUUCGACUCCAAUGUUGACUGAAGAUUUUGGAAAGCAGUUCUGUGUACUUUGUGCAUGAUCAACUAAUUCAGGUGGCUCCAUUGAAAAUUAAUUUUAGUGAUCCAAAUUUUUGUUGUUA